CCUACGGGUGGCAGCAGCAAGGAAUCUUCGGCACUGGGCGCAAGCCUGACCGAGCAACGCCGCGUGGAGGACGACGGCCUUCGGGUUGUAAACUCCUUUCGCGGGGGACGAAUGGGACGGUACCCCGAGAAGCAGCCCCGGCUAACUCUGUGCCAGCAGCCGCGGUAAGACAGAGGGGGCAAGCGUUGUCCGGAUUUACUGGGCGUACAGCGCGCGUAGGCGGCUGGCGACGUGCCGUGUGACAGGCGGGGGCUCAACCCCCGACGGCCACGGUAGACGCGCCGGCUCGAGGCAGGGAGAGGGAUGUGGAAUACCCGGUGGAGCGGUGAAAUGCGUAGAGAUCGGGUGGAACACCAGGGGCGCAGGCGGCAUCCUGGCCCUGUGCUGACGCUGAGGCGCGAGAGCGUGGGGAGCGAACUGGAUUAGAUACCCCGGUAGUC
rnacentral:rRNA from 1 species